GGUUAAGCGACUAAGCGUACACGGUGGAUGCCCUGGCAGUCAGAGGCGAUGAAGGACGUGCUAAUCUGCGAAAAGCGUCGGUAAGGUGAUAUGAACCGUUAUAACCGGCGAUGUCCGAAUGGGGAAACCCAGUGUGAUUCGUCACACUAUCGUUAACUGAAUACAUAGGUUAACGAGGCGAACCGGGGGAACUGAAACAUCUAAGUACCCCGAGGAAAAGAAAUCAACCGAGAUUCCCCCAGUAGCGGCGAGCGAACGGGGAGCAGCCCAGAGUCUGAAUCAGCUUGUGUGUUAGUGGAACGGUCUGGAAAGUCCGACGGUACAGGGUGAUAGUCCCGUACACCAAAAUGCACAGGUUGUGAACUCGAAGAGUAGGGCGGGACACGUGGUAUCCUGUCUGAAUAUGGGGGGACCAUCCUCCAAGGCUAAAUACUCCUGACUGACCGAUAGUGAACCAGUACCGUGAGGGAAAGGCGAAAAGAACCCCGGCGAGGGGAGUGAAAAAGAACCUGAAACCGUGUACGUACAAGCAGUGGGAGCACCUUCGGGUGUGACUGCGUACCUUUUGUAUAAUGGGUCAGCGACUUAUAUUCUGUAGCAAGGUUAACCGUAUAGGGGAGCCGCAGGGAAACCGAGUCUUAACUGGGCGUUAAGUUGCAGGGUAUAGACCCGAAACCCGGUGAUCUAGCCAUGGGCAGGUUGAAGGUUGGGUAACACUAACUGGAGGACCGAACCGACUAAUGUUGAAAAAUUAGCGGAUGACUUGUGGCUGGGGGUGAAAGGCCAAUCAAACCGGGAGAUAGCUGGUUCUCCCCGAAAGCUAUUUAGGUAGCGCCUCGUGAAUUCAUCUUCGGGGGUAGAGCACUGUUUCGGCUAGGGGGUCAUCCCGACUUACCAACCCGAUGCAAACUACGAAUACCGAAGAAUGUUAUCACGGGAGACACACGGCGGGUGCUAACGUCCGUCGUGAAGAGGGAAACAACCCAGACCGCCAGCUAAGGUCCCAAAGUCAUGGUUAAGUGGGAAACGAUGUGGGAAGGCACAGACAGCCAGGAUGUUGGCUUAGAAGCAGCCAUCAUUUAAAGAAAGCGUAAUAGCUCACUGGUCGAGUCGGCCUGCGCGGAAGAUGUAACGGGGCUAAACCAUGCACCGAAGCUGCGGCAGCGACACUAUGUGUUGUUGGGUAGGGGAGCGUUCUGUAAGCCUGCGAAGGUGUGCUGUGAGGCAUGCUGGAGGUAUCAGAAGUGCGAAUGCUGACAUAAGUAACGAUAAAGCGGGUGAAAAGCCCGCUCGCCGGAAGACCAAGGGUUCCUGUCCAACGUUAAUCGGGGCAGGGUGAGUCGACCCCUAAGGCGAGGCCGAAAGGCGUAGUCGAUGGGAAACAGGUUAAUAUUCCUGUACUUGGUGUUACUGCGAAGGGGGGACGGAGAAGGCUAUGUUAGCCGGGCGACGGUUGUCCCGGUUUAAGCAUGUAGGCUGGUUGUCCAGGCAAAUCCGGAUAAUCAAGGCUGAGGUGUGAUGACGAGGCACUACGGUGCUGAAGUAACAAAUGCCCUGCUUCCAGGAAAAGCCUCUAAGCAUCAGGUAACAUCAAAUCGUACCCCAAACCGACACAGGUGGUCAGGUAGAGAAUACCAAGGCGCUUGAGAGAACUCGGGUGAAGGAACUAGGCAAAAUGGUGCCGUAACUUCGGGAGAAGGCACGCUGGUGUGUAGGUGAAGUCCCUGCGGAUGGAGCUGAGACCAGUCGAAGAUACCAGCUGGCUGCAACUGUUUAUUAAAAACACAGCACUGUGCAAACACGAAAGUGGACGUAUACGGUGUGACGCCUGCCCGGUGCCGGAAGGUUAAUUGAUGGGGUUAUCCGUAAGGAGAAGCUCUUGAUCGAAGCCCCGGUAAACGGCGGCCGUAACUAUAACGGUCCUAAGGUAGCGAAAUUCCUUGUCGGGUAAGUUCCGACCUGCACGAAUGGCGUAAUGAUGGCCAGGCUGUCUCCACCCGAGACUCAGUGAAAUUGAACUCGCUGUGAAGAUGCAGUGUACCCGCGGCAAGACGGAAAGACCCCGUGAACCUUUACUAUAGCUUGACACUGAACAUUGAGCCUUGAUGUGUAGGAUAGGUGGGAGGCUUUGAAGCGUGGACGCCAGUCUGCGUGGAGCCAACCUUGAAAUACCACCCUUUAAUGUUUGAUGUUCUAACGUUGGCCCCUGACCGGGGUUGCGGACAGUGUCUGGUGGGUAGUUUGACUGGGGCGGUCUCCUCCCAAAGCGUAACGGAGGAGCACGAAGGUUAGCUAAUCCUGGUCGGACAUCAGGAGGUUAGUGCAAUGGCAUAAGCUAGCUUGACUGCGAGCGUGACGGCGCGAGCAGGUGCGAAAGCAGGUCAUAGUGAUCCGGUGGUUCUGAAUGGAAGGGCCAUCGCUCAACGGAUAAAAGGUACUCCGGGGAUAACAGGCUGAUACCGCCCAAGAGUUCAUAUCGACGGCGGUGUUUGGCACCUCGAUGUCGGCUCAUCACAUCCUGGGGCUGAAGUAGGUCCCAAGGGUAUGGCUGUUCGCCAUUUAAAGUGGUACGCGAGCUGGGUUUAGAACGUCGUGAGACAGUUCGGUCCCUAUCUGCCGUGGGCGCUGGAGAAUUGAGGGGGGCUGCUCCUAGUACGAGAGGACCGGAGUGGACGCAUCACUGGUGUUCGGGUUGUCAUGCCAAUGGCACUGCCCGGUAGCUAAAUGCGGAAGAGAUAAGUGCUGAAAGCAUCUAAGCACGAAACUUGCCCCGAGAUGAGUUCUCCCUGAGACUUUAAGUCUCCUGAAGGAACGUUAAAGACGAUGACGUUGAUAGGCCGGGUGUGUAAGCGCAGCGAUGCGUUGAGCUAACCGGUACUAAUGAACCGUGAGGCUUAACCUU
rnacentral:rRNA from 1 species